UUCUGGCAUGAGAAUAAGUUCGGGGGAGAAUCCCCUGUCGAGCGCAUAUUGUGCCACCGGAGACGGCAUGACGGCAUGAUCUUGUCCCCCCUGUUUCUUCUAGCCGGCGGUUGGGUAACUAUUGCUGCAACCUAAAUCUCACCGUAUUAGCGACGCGAGUCACCACCACUGGAUGUCGAAAUUCAGGCCAUACUAAUCAACGGAUCCAACCAUUCGCCCCCUUACCGUCGCGGGCUGACCGUAACCUCUCCAAACAACCCAACAUUGCCAACACAGCAAUCACAUCUAUCUUCAGCUCAACGUGGAAUUUCAAAAAGCACCCAUCUCCAGUCUCCCAUGCAUUAAACGCGUACAUAUCUCUCGCAAAUAAAAUACACCCGGUAGACCGAGCGACGCCGCGAAACCGGGUUAAGCAAUGGACGGGAACAGCAGGCAGAGCUCAGCGGAUCGAUGAAAGAGACCACAACGCAACGACGUUGAAGGCGGUACCUCAAACGGGGAG
rnacentral:lncRNA from 1 species